rnacentral:misc_RNA from 1 species
GGGUGGUGUUGGUAGAGCUGAUCUCAUCAUUAGAAGCUGUGGAUACCAACAGGCACCGCCAUGAUAUUAAUUUGUCUAAUAUGGCUGUCAACAAGAUCCAAGGUCAUUCAAUUCAUGAAUUAGUUGAUCCAACUCUUGGAUUCUCAACAAACAGCUCCGUGAGGAGGAUGACUACAUUAGUCGCAGAGUUAGCUUUCCGAUGUCUGCAACAAGAGAGAGAUCUGAGACCUUCAAUGCAAGAAGUGCUGGAGACAUUGAGAGGCAUCCAGAAUGGAGAGUUGAAAGCACACAAUGCUGAGGUACUGGAUAUUGUGGUAGAUGAUGCUGGGCUCCUAAAGGACUCCCUUUCUUCUCCGGAUUCAGUUGCCGCUGACAAAUGAGUUGACAGCUCCACACCACAUUCUAGUGGAUGAAAUAUGUUUUUCAGGUCGGUUGAAUUCGAUGCAAGGUGAGGAAGCAACUACUAUUAUGGCACUUGUGAUCAGUAUCUCGCGUCUUCCAUAGAUAAUUUAUUUCUUAUUUUUGCUUACAUAUAGUUAUGUUGUUAUCGUCAAUAUUUUCUGUGGGAGAUUAUCUAAAACUGCUUUUCGCAUAAGGCAAUGUAUAUAAAUAGUGAAUAGGGCUGCCAACAUUCUAGUAUACA